rnacentral:tRNA from 1 species
UUUUGGGAAGCAAAAUUGCGUUAAGUUUCGGCCUUAAAGAUGGAUAAUCUCCCCCAAAUU